AAAGACUUUGAAAGAGAGUUAAACAGUAUGUGAAAUUGUUAAAAGGGAACCGUUUGGAGCCAGACUGGCUUGAUUGUAAUCAAUCUAGGUUUCGACCUGGAUGCACUUGCAGUCUAUGCCUGCCAACGACAGUUCUUUUUGCAGGAUAAAACUAGGAGGAAUGUGGCCCCUCGGGGUGUUAUAGCCUUUUAGAUAAUACUGUGAAUGGGACUGAGGAACGCAGUGAAUGCUGUAUGGCGAAAUGGCUGAGCGCUUUUACUAAUAGAUGUCUGAAUUUCUGCUUCGGGUGGUGCUGAUGUCUAAAGGUGAAACUCGUUUGGUUUAUUUUCUAUUCACUUAGGUUGUUGGCUUAAUGACUCUAAAUGA
rnacentral:rRNA from 1 species